rnacentral:lncRNA from 1 species
GAGUGGUGCUGGGGGCGGGUUAAGGUUGGACUGGGGACAGGACAGAGGAGCAAGAGGCGGGGGGCUGGGCGAGUGGAGGGAGGCCUUGGGAGGGGCCUCGAUGGGUCCGGGUGGGGGUCAGCCGGGCCAGAGCACCACUUGGUGGUAGCCGCAGGUAACUGAAGUGGCCCUGCAGUGGGGGAAGGUCCCGGCAGCCUAGCGCCCACCUGAGGAGGGCUGAGCCGUGACUCCCGCCCGGUACCCAUGGGCGUCACUGUACAGCGAGGCCCUGGCGGCUCCUGGUGGGAAGGCAUGUGUGGGAGGUGAGAGGGGUCCCUCCCUGGUGGGCCUCCCCACAGCCCUGUCCCCCACCAGUCCUGAGGAAAGCUCAAAAAUCCCAGUGAGGGUCCUUUGAAGCCAAGGUCCCUGACACAACGCGUCUGAGCAGCAGCCCCAGCCAGGAGCAGCCACACGGAGACCUGGCAGGUCGUGUGCGUCCAGGAGGGGACGUUAGGGGGAACCCAGGAAGUCGACGUGAAAUCGUGACCAUGACAAAGUGAGUGAAGAGAUACUGCUUCUGACAGUGCCACCCUCAACGGACGUCCCCAUCUCCUGGCUGGAAUGGGACUGCUGCCCACGGCUGGCCACCUGCAGCUGCCCCAGGCUGGGGUGCCAUCAGACCAACUGGAGGCGCCUUGCUGAAGCCCCUAGAAUCCUGCCACCACCCAUCAUGACGUAACCCAACCAGAGCCUACAGGGGGGACCUUCGUGGUACAUUUCACAAGCACCGUGUGGGGCUGUUCUAUGAAAGGCCAGUUUUAUUAUUUGAGUUACACCAUUCCAUAGUCCAAUAAUCAAAAGUGGGAAAGUAGAGCCCUAGAGAUGGUGUUGGAUUCCAGCCCGCGAGCCUCUGCGCUGUGGAAUAAAGUUAAGUCUCCAACUAGGUGUGGUGGUGCUCACCUGUGAUCCCAGCUACUGGGAGGCCAAGGGAAGAGGACGCAAGUUCGAGGCAAGCCUGGUCCCCGUAGAAAGACCUGUCUCCGGCUGGGCCCAGGGGCGCAGGCCUGUAAUCCCAGCAGCUCUGGAGCCUGAGGCAGGGGGAUGGAGAGUUCAAAGCCAACCUCAGCAAAAGCAAG